rnacentral:rRNA from 1 species
UACGUAGGGACCAAGCGUUGUUCGGAUUUACUGGGCGUAAAGGGCGCGUAGGCGGCGCGGUAAGUCACUUGUGAAAUCUCUGAGCUCAACUCAGAACGGCCAAGUGAUACUGCUGUGCUAGAGUGCAGAAGGGGCAAUCGGAAUUCCUGGUGUAGCGGUGAAAUGCGUUGAUAUCAGAAGGAACGCCGGUGGCGAAAGCGACGGACUGGACCUCUUCUGACGCUGAGGCGCGAAAGCUAGGGGAGCAAACGGG